AUGCCCAAGUUCCACUACAAGAUGUACCACUACCGCCGUCGAAUACCAUCAAGUGUACAACUAUCGCCGCCGUUGAUUCGACAAGACAACGUGUACCACUACUUCCCACUACGACACGAGUACAACUACUUCCACUAUGACCGCUACAAGAACGACUACUUCCUCUACAUCGUACUGAACCCGAACCGCUCCGAAAUGCACGCUUCAAAGUUGCAGGUGCCGAUGAUACCAGUGCAGAUGAUGCAACCGAGCUCAGAUGGGAGCUCAACGAAGAUCUUGGUCGUUUCUAUGUUUUGUUUCAUGUUGAUCAGUAGUGGAGCCCAGUUGGGAUGA
rnacentral:rRNA from 1 species